UACGUAGGUGGCAAGCGUUAUCCGGAUUUAUUGGGCGUAAAGGGAACGCAGGCGGUCUUUUAAGUCUGAUGUGAAAGCCUUCGGCUUAACCGGAGUAGUGCAUUGGAAACUGGGAGACUUGAGUGCAGAAGAGGAGAGUGGAACUCCAUGUGUAGCGGUGAAAUGCGUAGAUAUAUGGAAGAACACCAGUGGCGAAAGCGGCUCUCUGGUCUGUAAAUGACGCUGAGGUUCGAAAGCGUGGGUAGCAAACAGG
rnacentral:rRNA from 1 species